UACGUAGGGUGCAAGCGUUAAUCGGAAUUACUGGGCGUAAAGCGUGCGCAGACGGUUAUGUAAGACAGUUGUGAAAUCCCCGGGCUCAACCUGGGAACUGCAUCUGUGACUGCAUAGCUAGAGUACGGUAGAGGGGGAUGGAAUUCCGCGUGUAGCAGUGAAAUGCGUAGAUAUGCGGAGGAACACCGAUGGCGAAGGCAAUCCCCUGGACCUGUACUGACGCUCAUGCACGAAAGCGUGGGGAGCAAACAGG
rnacentral:rRNA from 1 species